rnacentral:lncRNA from 1 species
GGACAGGGGUGACCACACUCCAUUCGAGGGAACUGCAGAAGACAGAUUCUCAAGUGCAGGCCGCAGCACCGGGCUGCUGGGACCGGUGUCACAAAAGCAGGCUUCGUUUCUUUUAACCUCUGCUGUUCCAGAAAAGCAGGGUGGGCAAUGCCAUUUCCACAGCCGUCCGGGGCUCUGGCAAAUGUCACGGCUGUCACGCAGACAGAAUCCCCCUGGCCUGUGCGCCUCCAUCGUCCGAGGGAAAACAUUCUUUGCAUUCCUGACGGAGGGUCCUAUCUGCAGGCCUUGGACUCGGCCCGCAGGCCGUGUUCCCUGUCCAGUGGCCUAGGCCACGGCCGGCCGCUCCUUCCCUCCAGCUCCGCAGGAAGAGGGGAAGCGGGAAGGACUCUGCCUACGCCGCGUGUGGACACCCUGCCGGUCAGGACAGAGCACCAGCUGCGGCAUGUUGUGUGGAGGGGAGCUUAUCCCUUCCGGCACAUCCUGACAAGACACGUUUUAUAGGGUUUGGGCUAAAAUUUGAUAUUGGAAGUUGGGGACUCCAAUUUUAUGUCUCCAAGGAUAACAAUAGCAGCUGGGACCUUUAAGAAAUGUGUGUGUCCCCUCUACUUAAGAGUUCCAUAAUAAAAGCUAUUUAUGUCAAGCACCUUAUAAGGGAAAGAUUUAACUUGAGCAUUGAUAUAACAUAUAAUACCUUUUCUAUUUAGAUAGGAGGAAAAUCCAUCAUUAAUGAUCUGUAUUACUUCAGUUUGAACUAUCAGAUAUGCAGGGGCUUUAACAAAUUGAAAGGAAGCGUGUCCUUGUUUCAAUUUACAGAUUCAUCCAGUGACCUCUUUCCGUAUUAUUUCUGUAUAAAAAGCAAACAAUGGU